ACCGAGAUUCCCCCAGUAGCGGCGAGCGAACGGGGAGCAGCCCGGAGUCUGAAUCAGCUUGUGUGUUAGUGGAACGGUCUGGAAAGUCCGACGGUACAGGGUGAUAGUCCCGUACACGAAAAUGCACUUGCUGUGAACUCGAAGAGUAGGGCGGGACACGUGGUAUCCUGUCUGAAUAUGGGGGGACCAUCCUCCAAGGCUAAAUACUCCUGACUGACCGAUAGUGAACCAGUACCGUGAGGGAAAGGCGAAAAGAAC
rnacentral:rRNA from 1 species